CAGUAGCCGCGGUAAUACGGAGGGUGCAAGCGUUAAUCGGAAUUACUGGGCGUAAAGCGCACGCAGGCGGUCUGUCAAGUCAGAUGUGAAAUCCCCGGGCUUAACCUGGGAACUGCAUUUGAAACUGGCAGGCUAGAGUCUUGUAGAGGGGGGUAGAAUUCUAGGUGUAGCGGUGAAAUGCGUAGAGAUCUGGAGGAAUACCGGUGGCGAAGGCGGCCCCCUGGACAAAGACUGACGCUCAGGUGCGAAAGCGUGGGGAGCAAACAGGAUUAGAUACCCCGGUAGUCCCUGUCUCUUAUAC
rnacentral:rRNA from 1 species